GAAUGAUCGAUAUCAGUCCUGAUCAAUUUGGCUACACACUCAGAGACUGUAAAAAGAUUGUAGGGGCGUUGCUUGGCAACCGUUAGCCAGCAGCUACAAACGAAGCGGAGGAAGAACAACAAAUCAAACCCGCAAAAAGUGAGUGUUUAUUAAGCCAAAAACUAAGUAACUGGAUUCAUUUGAAGGUUUUAACGAACAAGUUGCAAUAGCAGCGAAAAAGACUUAAACUUAAGUUCACCAAUGUGAAAAGAAGAACACGAUGUCAGCACAGGAAGAAGAAGCAAAUAUCGGCAAAGUACUCAGUUUUCUUCGAGAAUGGGACCGUGGCGACAGGACGGUCCGCUGCCGCAUGUUGAACACCUUCCUGACUCAAAACACUGGGAAGACGUUUUAUGAGCUGGAGCUGGAGUUUGCACAGGUUGCCAGUCUCUUCCUGGCUCGACUCACCACCUGGAUGAGACUCACAUACAUGUUUGGGACAUUCUUGGGACUGCAGCUUAAAGCAGUUGGGAUUUUCCUUUCUGCAUCAAGCCAUGAUCAGUACUUAAUGGAGUUCCUGGAGGAUGGAGGUGUUCUCACUCUCCUGGAGAUCUUGAGCCACUAUCAGAGCAAAGAGGAGGACAAGGCAGAGGCCCUUCGUCUCCUGCUCACUGUCUCAAAUGCUGGUCGCAAGUACAAAGAGAUUAUCUGUGAAAGCCAUGGUGUGAAAGCCAUCGCAGAGUGCCUGGCUAAGUCAAACACAGAUGAAACCCAAGAGACAGCAUGGGCCCUCCUGGAGUCCCUGUCCCGUGGAAACCCCAAAUAUCAAAACCAAAUCUACAAAGGUCUGAUUGCCCUCAUGACUUGUACCUCCCCGAAGGCCCAGCAGCUGGUCCUGCACACCUUACACACUGUGCAGUCCAAAAUGAAAACAGCACAUCCCAGCAUUGUAGAGCCUCUGCUGAAUAUACUCAGGUCCCUGCACCUGGAGGUUCAGGAUGAAGCUAUAAAUUUGAUCUUGGACCUGAAGUGUUAUGAUGUGAGGCCAAUGCUGCUCGGUGGACUGGUGGCUCUGCUGAGACCUGCUAAAGAAGAAGUACAGCAGCAUAUGGAAGAAUCUGAGUCUGAGAUAAUCAUGACGACUGGAUCUCUGCCUGUGUUUGUGCAACAAGCUGCUGCAGCUAAAACUAUACGUGUUUGUGGUGUUGAAGCUUGCUGGCCGAGGACAGUCGAGAGGUUUCCCGGGAGCUUCUUUCUCUUGGAGUGGUCCAACAUCUUCUGUGCGCUAUGGGAAACAGAGAGCACACUGAUGCCCAAAAACAAGCCAGUCUGGCCUUGGAGCACUUUGUCCGCUCAUACCCAGUUAUUGAGGAACACGUGCAGAGAGUCAUUGGCAGUACACUGUUUGCGGCCUUUAUGCACAAAGCUGACACUCUGUACAUGAACAUGGAUGAAGCACAAGCAGAAACCCUUUUAACUAACAGGGUGAAUAUAACUGAAGUUUCGUUUGGUGAUAAACUCUGAAAUAGGACAAUUGGAAAUAAUCAUUUCAAGAUGCAGAUGAAGAAAAUGUAUAUUUGUUUUAGUAUAAAUACUGUUUGUAUGUUAUUAAAAGUUUCAUCCUUAUAUUAUUUUUUGUUAUUAUCUAAUACAGUUUUAUAGAGUUAUUAGUUUGCUGAACACAAUAUGUGAUUUGGAACAAUCAUAGAGAUGUGAUUGUUCAGCAUUUUACUUUACUACUUUACAUUUCUGUUAUUUUAAAUACACAUCAUACUGUACUUAAGUACACAUUUGCUGUAGUUGUACUUUUUUUUAAUGCCACUUUCUACUUCUACUCCACUACAUUUAUUCAAUAGCUUUAGUUACUAGUUAUAGGUUUGCAUUGAUAUAUGAUGCUUUCUUAUACAUGAGACUAUGCAACAGUUUAUAGAUGUGAUUCAAUUAAAACAUUUGUUGAUUGGAAUAGAAUUUACUGGCAACUAUUUUGAUAGAUAAGUCAUUAUUAUUUUAAAUAAUUUGAUCAUUUUGAGGUUUGGACUGUUGGUUUAACAAAAUAAACAUUGUGAAGGUGUCAUUUUGAGCUCUG